ACUUGAGAGGAAGCAUGUGAGAACUGAGAGAAAGGAUUAAGAGAACAUCUUUCCUGAGAGACUAUAUGAGUUAAUUGUCAAAAAGAGCCUGAAGAGACAUUUCCUGAAAGAACUGAGUUAAAGAAGAUAGUAAAGAACUAGUAGUAGAACUAGUAAAGAAGGAAGCAUUUGUCCAGGAGCAAAUGAAGAACCUGGGCAUUCUUCAACAUAGAGAUAGAUCAGCAGAAGAAGAGGAUCACUGCACAAGAAUUCUUCCGCUGAAGACUGUCUGAGAGACUGUCAAUCUAAAUAUGAGAAUACUCACCUGACAACACUAUAUGAGCAAUCCUGUUGGAAGUAUAUUUCUUUUUCUUCAAUGGCCUUUCCUUAUAAUAAUUAUGACUUCUCAACAUAA